rnacentral:piRNA from 1 species
UAAGAAUCUUCACCAUGUCCAAAUUUCUUGC